UACCACAGAAUGAGUCAUAAUACCCAUAAAACCUCGUGUUCAAACAGAGAAAUGGUUACAAUCAUUUAUCCCAUAGGGGAUUUUAAGAAACACUUCAAAUGAGGGCUGUUUUGUGUAAUUACCUAUCAUCAUAAAGAACUACAAAUGCAAUGAUGGUCUGGACGAGACUGACGAAUCGAGACAAAGGUGGGACAUUCUUUUGCAGUGAGUCUUUAAUCCAGCACCACUACCGCCCUUGUGAAAGCUAUACACUCCUGUCUGACAGCUACAGACUCCAGAAAACCAGUAAUGGUUUACUAGCCUGGCUCAGCAGCUACACCACCAGAAAGAAGGCAGAGAGUGAUGGCAAAUGGCACAUUUAGGCCUUGGUCAGAGGUCACCUCUGGUGUGCCACAAGGGUGUGUGGUUUCACCACAUCUGUUUCUCCUUCACAUGUCCACCUGAAAAGUUGUCUUCAGUGACACUCUGGAUACUGGGUAUGCGGACAAUGUAGGGUUGUCCCGAGGCAUACCAUUAACCAGCAUUCAAGAGGACACUUCCAUGGGCUUGGAGGCAAAGCAGCUGGAAGAGUGGACCCCAUCCAACUACAUGCUCCUGAACGGAUAAAAAGUCUGUGGAAAUUCUGCUAUGUUCCUAAGUACCAGCGGUAACAAUGACCAAAUAUCUUGGUUUUUAUCUGGACUCUAACCUCAGUGGUGACACGUGGCGCAGUCAAGGCCUCAAAACACCUGCACUUUUUGACUGUCCUUGUCAGAAAUGGCCGACCCAAUGAAUAUCUGGUCACAGUAUACACUACACUGGUCAGGCCUUCUCUGGAAUACAGUGGAGUGCUGUUAGUUGGAUGCAGUAAAAAGCAGCCAGCCCAAAUAGACAGGUUGCAGAGGGCCUUGAGGUUCAUCUCCAGAGGUUGAGCAGUGCAGCUACAGCUCCCGUCACUGCAGAGCAGGCGACAACAGGCUGCAGUGCACGCUUACUUUAAAACUGCACCAUUUUCUCUCCUCCCCAAUGGAAAUGUUGAAUACUUAUUUUUGUUUAUCCUCGAUGAUUCUUAAUCAAGUGUAUCAUUUUGUAUGUGUACCUUGUUUUAAAUGAUCAAAUACAUUAAACUCCAAAAGAACAUGUGUAGAAUUGCAGGAAAUGUACUUUAAAACUAAAAACUCUGGUGGUCUGCCAACCAAGUCUCGCUUAGGUCCCCAAAAAAGGCUAGGGCUGGCCCUGAACUGGCCUGCAAGCAUUCAGUCGUACACUUGUGAGAGAGCACGAUACAUAGUCAUACACUUGUUAGCAUGGUACAGAAGAAGCUGUUGGAAUGGCAUUGUCUACUCCAAAUCAGUUUUGGUCAACAGAUUACAGUUGCAAAAAGCCAGUAACCUUCCCUAAAUUCCCAGGUUUUCCUGAAAUCCUGGUUGGAGGUAUCCAGAUGUCCUUCAUAUUCCUCCUGAUUCUGGGAAUCUUCCAAUUGUGACGUCUGGAAAACCUGGGAAUUUUGUCAACAGUUGUACCAGAUUUAGCUAGCAGCUCAUUUCCGUCUGCAAAGGGUAUUCACUGAAAAGGGUAUUGGGUAUUGUGUUGCAUUUCUGCCAAGUGACUGCGCACCUGGUGAAGGACAUGCACACUCUUGACCACCCACUGAAUGACCUGUUCCCUCCAAAAAGUGGUAAAUGUACCACCAGGCUCCUGAGAAACAGCCACGAACUGUCCUGUAUAACUGUCCUGUAUAACUGCUGUCUGAUCAGACUGUGAAACACCACUCUACCCACUGCUAUCAGACUGUGAAACACCACUCUACCCACUGCUAUCAGACUGUGAAACACCACUCUACCCACUGCUAUCAGACUGUGAAACACCAUUCUACCCACUGCUAUCAGACUGUGAAACACCACUCUACCCACUGCUAUCAGACUGUGAAACACCAUUCUACCCACUGCUAUCAGACUGUGAAACACCACUCUACCCACUGCUAUCAGACUGUGAAACACCACUCUACCCACUGCUAUCAGACUGUGAAACACCACUCUACCCACUGCUAUCAGACUGUGAAACACCACUCUACCCACUGCUAUCAGACUGUGAAACACCACUCUACCCACUGCUAUCAGACUGUGAAACACCACUCUACCCACUGCUAUCAGACUGUGAAACACCACUCUACCCACUGCUAUCAGACUGUGAAACACCACUCUACCCACUGCUAUCAGACUGUGAAACACCAUUCUACCCACUGCUAUCAGACUGUGAAACACCACUCUACCCACUGCUAUCAGAUUGUGAAACACCACUCUACCCACUGCUAUCAGACUGUGAAACACCACUCUACCCACUGCUAUCAGACUGUGAAACACCAUUCUACCCACUGCUAUCAGACUGUGAAACACCACUCUACCCACUGCUAUCAGACUGUAUAAUAACUCUAGCUCUUAAAUGGCCUUUCCUUAAAAUUCUCUUUUUAACAAUCACACAUUAACAUUUCAAUUUCCAUCAUGAAAAAUGUCCUUUAACGUUUCAAGUGUCCUGUAUUCUAUUCCUGUCACGUGUUAUGUAUUUUAAAUGAGAGUUUUGCAAUUCUUAGUCAUGUCAA